CAGCAGUGGGGAAUAUGCACAAUGGGCGCAAGCCCGAUGCAGCCAUGCCGCGUGUAUGAAGAAGGCCUUCGGGUUGUAAAGUACUUUCAGCAGUGAGGAAGGUGGGUAUGUUAAUAGCAUAUUCAUUUGACGUUAGCUGCAGAAGAAGCACCGGCUAACUCCGUGCCAGCAGCCGCGGUAAUACGGAGGGUGCGAGCGUUAAUCGGAAUUACUGGGCGUAAAGCGCAUGCAGGUGGUUUGUUAAGUCAGAUGUGAAAGCCCCGGGGCUCAACCUCGGAAUUGCAUUUGAAACUGGCAAACUAGAGUACUGUAGAGGGGGUAGAAUUUCAGGUGUAGCGGUGAAAUGCGUAGAGAUCUGAAGGAAUACCGGUGGCGAAGGCGGCCCCCUGGACAGAUACUGACACUCAGAUGCGAAAGCGUGGGGAGCAAACAGGAUUAGAUACCCUGGUAG
rnacentral:rRNA from 1 species